CAUGCGAGUCGAGAGGUGUAAGACCUCGGCAUACUGCUCAGUAACACGUGGUUAACCUGCCCUAAGGUGGAGCAUACUCCCGGGAAACUGGGGCUAAUUCUCCAUAGUGGAUGUAUCCUGGAAUGGUAUAUCCUCGAAAGAUCCGUCGCCUUAGGAUGGGACUGCGCCCGAUUAGGUUGUUGGCGGGGUAACGGCCCACCAAGCCAUUGAUCGGUACGGGUUGUGGGAGCAAGAUCCCGGAGAUGGAUUCUGAGACAUGAAUCCAGGCCCUACGGGGCGCAGCAGGCGCGCAAACUUUACAAUGCGAGCAAUCGUGAUAAGGAAACCCUGAGUGCCUGUCGAUGCAGGCUGUUCAUAUAUCUAAAUCAUAUGUGAAGAAAGGGCAGGGCAAGACCGGUGCCAGCCGCCGCGGUAUACCGGCUGCUCGAGUGAUGGCCACUAUUACUGGGUUUAAAGCGUCCGUAGCUUGACUGUUAGGUCUCUUGGGAAAUCUUCGCGCUCAACGUGAAGGCGUCUAAGAGAUACCGGCAGUCUUGGAACUGGGAGAGGUAAACCGUACUUCGGGGGUAGGAGUGAAAUCUUGUAAUCCUCGAGGGACGACCUAUGGCGAAGGCAGUUUACCAGAACAGCUUCGACAGUGAGGGACGAAAGCUGGGGGAGCAAACGGGAUUAGAUACCCCGGUAGUCCCAGCCGUAAACAAUGUGCGUUAGGUGUGUCGGUAACCACGUGUUACUGAUGCGCCGAAGAGAAAUCGUGAAACGCACCACCUGGGAAGUACGGUCGCAAGGCUGAAACUUAAAGGAAUUGGCGGGGGAGCACCACAACAGGUGGAGCCUGCGGUUUAAUUGGAUUCAACGCCGGAAAGGGC
rnacentral:rRNA from 1 species